rnacentral:rRNA from 1 species
UGGGGAAUCUUGCACAAUGGGGGAAACCCUGAUGCAGCGACGCCGCGUGAACGAUGAAGCCCUUCGGGGUGUAAAGUUCUUUCGGCAGGAACGAUAAUGACGGUACCUGAAGAAGAAGCUGCGGCUAACUACGUGCCAGCAGCCGCGGUAAUACGUAGGCAGCAAACGUUGUUCGGAGUUACUGGGCGUAAAGAGUACGUAGGCGGUUUGCCAAGUUUGGUGUGAAAUCUCCUGGCUUAACUGGGAGGGUGCGCCGAAUACUGGCAGACUUGAGUAUUGGAGAGGAAAGCGGAAUUCCUGGUGUAGCGGUGAAAUGCGUAGAUAUCAGGAGGAACACCGGUGGUGUAGACGGCUUUCUGGACAAUCACUGACGCUGAGGUACGAAAGCGUGGGUAGCAAACAGGAUUAGAUACCCCCGUAGUCCC